rnacentral:snRNA from 1 species
CUUUUUGAUCCUUCGAUGUCG